rnacentral:rRNA from 1 species
AGCUCCAAUAGCGUAUAUUAAUGUUGUUGCAGUUAAAAAGCUCGUAGUUGGAUUUGUGGUUUGACCAGCCGGCUGGGCCUUUUGGCCUUUGCUGUGCUGGUCAUCCAUCCUUGGGUGGAAUCUGUGUGGCAUUAGGUUGUCGUGCAGGGGAUGCCCAUCAUUUACUGUGAAAAAAUUAGAGUGUUUCAAACAGACUUAUGUCUUGAAUAUGCUAGCAUGGAAUAAUAAUAUAGGACUUCGGCACUAUUUUGUUGGUUUGCGCGUUGAAGUAAUGAUUAAUAGGGACAGUUGGGGGUAUUUGUAUUCCAUUGUAAGAGGUGAAAUUCUUGGAUUUUUGGAAGACAAACUACUGCGAAAGCAUUUACCAAGGAUGUUUUCAUUAAUCAAGAACGAAAGUAGG